UACAGAGGUGGCAAGCGUUGUUCGGAAUUACUGGGCGUAAAGGGCGCGUAGGCGGUCGGGCAAGUCCUGUGUGAAAUCCCUCGGCUCAACUGAGGAACUGCACGGGAAACUGCUCAACUUGAGUUCGGGAGAGGGAAGCGGAAUUCCGGGUGUAGCGGUGAAAUGCGUAGAUAUCCGGAGGAACACCGGUGGCGAAGGCGGCUUCCUGGACCGACACUGACGCUGAGGCGCGAAAGCUAGGGGAGCAAACGGG
rnacentral:rRNA from 1 species